rnacentral:rRNA from 1 species
UCCUACGGGAGGCAGCAGUGGGGAAUAUUGCACAAUGGAGGAAACUCUGAUGCAGCGACGCCGCGUGAGUGAAGAAGUAAUUCGUUAUGUAAAGCUCUAUCAGCAGGGAAGAUAGUGACGGUACCUGACUAAGAAGCUCCGGCUAAAUACGUGCCAGCAGCCGCGGUAAUA